rnacentral:rRNA from 1 species
AACGAACGCUGGCGGCAUGCCUAACACAUGCAAGUCGAACGAGACCUUCGGGUCUAGUUGCGCACGGGUGCGUAACGCGUGGGAACCUGCCCUUAGGUUCCGAAUAACUCCCCGAAAGGGGUGCUAAUACCGGAUAAUGUCUUCGGGCCAAAGAUUUAUCGGCUUUGGAUGGUCCCGCGUUGGAUUAGCUUGUUGGUAGGGUAAAAGCCUACCAAGGCUACGAGCCAUAGCUGGUCUGAGAGGAUGAUCAGCAACACUGGGACUGAGACACGGCCCAGACUCCUACGGAAGGAAGCAGUGGGGAAUAUUGGACGCUGGGCGAAAGCAUGAUGCAGCAAUGCCGCGUGAGUGAUGAAGGCCUUAGGGUUGUAAAGCUCUUUUAAACGGGAUGAUAAUGACAGUACCGGGAGAAUAAGCUACGGCUAACUCCGUG